CCCCCCCCCCCGGCCACUUUUCCCUGCACGGCCAAACCUGCCUGACCUACCACCCCCCAAAUCCCAUGCGCCCGCGACGCCCCAAACCACACCACCACCAACCGCUCGCCGCCGCCGCGCGGCUGAUUAUUCCUGUGACAAACCGAGCGGCGUCUCGCCGCAGACGACAAGUGCUCGCCUCUCUCUCCCGUUGCUUUCCUUCCGAGAGAUGCUACGUACUACUACUCCGGUAAAGUGCCAAGAGACGACGAGGAGGGCGUUGGAUUAGCGAGAGAACAAGGAGAAGCGCCCAACAGGAGAGGAGCUGAUAUCCUUUAUCCUCCUCCUCCUGCUUGCUUUCGUCCCUUUUGAGGAUUGUUAGUGUAGCAGUAGUACUUGCUUUUGUUCCAUUCUUUAGGGUUUGUGCCCCUAAAGAAUGGCUUAAACAUUCUUUCGGCAAAUGCGUGUGCUCUUGUCUUUAAUGACUGUUUGUCUUAGCAGGGUAGGAGUAGGUUCUAGCCUUUUGUUCCUGUAGUUUGUACUACUACUAGGAUCAUUUCAGGUUUGGGUUGCUUUUUCAAAGACAAAUUGCGUGAAAUAUAUUCUUUUCUGC
rnacentral:sRNA from 1 species